UACGUAGGGGGGCUAGCGUUGUCCGGAUUAUUGGGCGUAAAGAGCGUGUAGGCGGCCAGGUAGGUCUGGUGUGAAAACUCGAGGCUUAACCUCGAGAUGUCAUCGGAAACCAUCUGGCUAGAGUCCGGAAGAGGAGAGUGGAAUUCCUGGUGUAGCGGUGAAAUGCGCAGAUAUCAGGAAGAACACCAAUGGCGAAGGCAGCUCUCUGGGACGGUACUGACGCUGAGACGCGAAAGCGUGGGGAGCGAACAGG
rnacentral:rRNA from 1 species